rnacentral:ncRNA from 1 species
UAAAAGGCGAUGAUGAGAAGAGUACUUGUGCACAAGCAUAACAGAGAACUCCUGAUGGUGGGAAUGGAGGAUGUAAUGGCAUAGGGAAACAAGCCUCUGAGCUGUACAAAGGAUCUUUCAUUAGAGAGUGAUGGUGUGCCGGGUUCUCCCGUUAAAGAGAUAGAGUAUAACCAUGUUUACAUGACGUACUUGAAAAGGUUGUUGUAGCGAUACAAUAACAAACUGGGGUGGCACCGCGAACUUCUAACAAUCAGAAGUCUCGUCCCCAAG